GGAAGUCUGCUAACAGAGAAGAAACAGUAAAGGUGGGGGGUGUGUUGGGAGAGCACAGAGAAUGGGUUACAUAAAGCAGGCAGCUUGUAUACUGAGACCAUCCUUCGCCAUCUGCCUGCCCCACCCCUUACAAAUGUAAGAAAGUGGCAUCACCCAGGUAACAAGCUCUCCAGGGUUCUGCUAUUGCCUUUGCUUGGAAUGCUCAGCAAGUGGGGUUGAGCUCCAUUCAAUAGGCAAUGAAGAGACAGUUCAUCCCUGCCUUUCCUCUCUGUCAGUGGAAGCAGCAGCACUGGGGGUCCCUAAAAGAAUCCCAGAGGGCAUCUAGUCCAACGCAUGCCUGACCAAGGAUCCCUUCUCCAGCAUAGCCAACAAAUGGACCCCUGGCUUCUGUUUGAAGACUUCCUGUUUUCAAGGAAGAUGGAGACUUACUACCUUGAGAGAGGAGAUGGCUACCUUUAGCUCCCAGCCUGAUUACUUAAAGUAAUACAGAGACUCUGACUCUUCCAUCUUCCUGAGGUGACGGAGAUGCAUUGGCUGCCAAGCAGUGAACACCAGGAAACGAAAUUCAAUUGGAAAAAAGUCCACUCGGUUUUAACGCUUCCUUCAGCACCCAAAAAACAAUCUGCAAGUUAAAACCUGUCCAGAAAAAGCUCUUUUAUUAACUGUGCCAUGAACAGCCAAUGAAGAAGGGAGGAAAAAACCAACAUAAUCACACCCUCGGGGGCAGGGGAAAAAUCAAUUCUUUGAAUGUUGCAUUGUUCCCAAAUAAAACCCAUUUUUACAA